rnacentral:rRNA from 1 species
CCUACGGGAGGCAGCAGUGAGGAAUAUUGGUCAAUGGGCUUACGCCUGAACCAGCCAAGUCGCGUGAGGGAAGACUGCCCUAUGAGUUGUAAACCUCUUUUGUCAGGGAGCAACGCCGGCUACGUGUAGCCGGACUGAGAGUACCUGCAGAAAAAGCAUCGGCUAACUCCGUGCCAGCAGCCGCGGUAAUACGGAGGAUGCGAGCGUUAUCCGGAUUGAUUGGGUUUAAAGGGUGCGUAGGCGGAAUGCCAAGUCAGCGGUAAAAUCGCGGGGCUCAACCUCGCUCCGCCGUUGAAACUGGCGUUCUUGAGUGGGCGAGAAGUAUGCGGAAUGCGUGGUGUAGCGGUGAAAUGCAUAGAGAUCACGCAGAACUCCGAUUGCGAAGGCAGCAUACCGGCGCCCAACUGACGCUGAAGCACGAAAGCGUGGGUAUCGAACAGGAUUAGAUACCCUGGUAGUC